GUUAAAGUGGUAGAACAGUACUUUAAAAGUAUGGUGCAAAUGUGGCCUCGAAUUCUCUUAAUACCUGGUGUGUGAGGCCUGUCAGAGGCUCAUUAGUGUUGAGAGGAAAGGGACAAACCGCAGCAGCUUACUGACACAUUUCUUUUCUGAAUUUUUCCUUCUCCUGCUCCAGGAGAAAGACCCAGCAUGGAAAACAGGUUCUAAAAGAUUAAGCCAAUGAGGGGUGGCUAUCCGGGAACAAUUACCAAAUGAUGAAUCACUUCGGCUUGUAGUAUUUCAUGAAUGGGAAAGGAAGUUUUAAAUUAAAAUGUCAUACCAUGGCUGUGUGAUCAGGACUCUCGUCAUCGAUCAUCAAAAAUGAUUUCAUUUUUGUGGAAGAAGAAAAAAGAGUUCUCCAGUUGUUUCAUUCUCUCUGGUAGUGCUCCUAAAGCAAUAGAUCCUUGGGCAUAAUUAAGCACCAGCAAUGCAGCUCCUGGGAGGUAGCCCACAAGGAAAAUGCAACCUCUGCUGCAUCAAAUGUUAUCACCAGCAACUUGAGUUCAGCCCAGAACAAACUGGCAGCCAGAGCAGACCCAACCACACUGGCAUGAUCGACUCAAAGCAGACAGCACCCCUCAACAACCCAGCUGCAGAAAUCCAAAUGGUUUUCAGAAACAGAGCCGCAUAAGGCUCAUUAUCGUAACCUACGCUGAAAGCCAACAGGGUAUGAGGUACCAUGGCAAAGUCCAACUUUCUGUCAGGAAGGGUUGUGGUUGGUGACUCAGCCAGAACUGGAAAAAGCAAUCUAAAGGCUGCCUACCUACCACUGAUUUAAAAUCCAAGAGGGGCAACUGAAGGAAGGCUGACAAUUAAACCCCAUACUCGGCAAGUAAAUGCUUAUUUUGAAAAAUGACACACAAACCCUGGUUGAGAUCAGCUAUUCUUUGAUAUGUGAUAGAAAAAGUUCUAAGGCCUGCAAAUGCAACAAUAAUAAGAAAUAAUGCUUCUGUCACAGAGUUGUGAUAUGCACUGGAAAAGUCUGAAUUCUAUAAAAGAGGCAGUAUCUAGUUUGCUUUAUUCCUUAGAAAGGGUUGUAAAGAAUACUUGUGCAUUCUUAGCUGUGUUAUACUAAUGGAACUAAGAUAUUUAUGCUGGCUUCAGUUCCACCCAAAUCCUAUUAUGCAAGCUUCUAUGAACUUACACAUUUUUCAUUUAGCUGUGUAAGCCUUUUUAAUAAACAGACCUGU